GACGAACGCUGGCGGCGUGCUUAACACAUGCAAGUCGAACGGAAAGGCCCUGCUUUUGUGGGGUGCUCGAGUGGCGAACGGGUGAGUAACACGUGAGUAACCUGCCCUUGACUUUGGGAUAACUUCAGGAAACUGGGGCUAAUACCGGAUAGGAGCUCCUGCUGCAUGGUGGGGGUUGGAAAGUUUCGGCGGUUGGGGAUGGACUCGCGGCUUAUCAGCUUGUUGGUGGGGUAGUGGCUUACCAAGGCUUUGACGGGUAGCCGGCCUGAGAGGGUGACCGGCCACAUGGGGAAUGGGAUACGGCCCAGACUCCUACGGGGGGCAGCAGGGGGGAAUAUUGCACAAUGGGCGGAAGCCUGAUGCAGCAACGCCGGGGGGGGGAUGACGGCCUUCGGGUUGUAAACCGCUUUCGCCUGUGACGAAGCGUGAGUGACGGUAAUGGGUAAAGGAGCACCGGCUAACUACGU
rnacentral:rRNA from 1 species